UAUUAGGGGUUCAAGCAGGAGCGUCGUUAGGGCUAAUCAUUCGGGCUCGUGUGUCUAGCCCCGAAUGUUUUUUGCCCAGGAGUAGAAAUGUGAUAGGAAUUAAGUAUGUUAUUUGUUUAUAUUGUUCUCCGCUUGAUAUUUGCUUGUAUUUCCUCAUUUGUAAGUCGCUUUGACUGGAAGAAAGUUGGUUUGACGUUGGACGUUCGAUAUUCGGGGAAAUGCGGAAAUAAAGGGGCCGUCUCUAAAGUUACAUACGACAUUGUUAAACACGUUUCUAACUUCAAUAGCAUUUGAAGGGAAUGAUGUACAGUCACAAAACCAACUGGAAAGUGUUCAUCUAGGUGUCAGAUAUGAGAAAUGCCUUUUAGAUUUUUGAUAUUUUUCAAAAUAUACUAUUAAAUCACAUUUAAAUUAGACAUGAAUUUCACUGCAGAAUGGGCCCAUACACCAAAUAUACCAUUUUGUAAAGCUAAAUUGCAUUUGAAGGGAAUGACUUACAGUCACAAAACCAACAAGAAGAGCAAUGGGCCAAGAGAUCACAAACUCAAAGACCAGCAAGGCAUCGUUCAAAGUAUUUUUAUCCACCAAAAGCAGUGGCCCAACCAAAAAGACAAGACAAAGAAAACAUCUAAGGAUCAUUCAGAGGACACAUCAGCCCAGAUCCAAGCUCUGUGGUCUAAGAAAGCAUGUGAGAUAGUCAUUGCCAUCACACAGUCAAAGGAGAAAAAAAAGUCUUAUAUCCUGCAUCAUUCAGAGCUGAAAACACUCCAGCGUGUGGGAGAGAAAAUUAUUCAUACCUUUGGGAAAUGCAUUGCUCUUAUGACAAUUGAAAAAUAAUCUGUGAACAUAGAGGAAUAUAUUAACUUACGUAAAAAUGACAAUGUUAAGCCAUUGUUGAGUAUAUUGAAUAAAUGUUAAUGAAACACUGGAUGAGGUACCUAUAAUUUAUUUUUUAUCUUUUGUUCUUAGACAAUCCAAUGCUAUUUUCAAGUGGUGGUGAAUAACAGAGACCAGGGACACAAGAUUUUUUAUACUAGAUCACUACACAGCAAGUGUUAUACUUCAUGGAGAAGGAGAUGAAGUACGGAGAAACAGUCUCUCACAGGUAAAGAUUAUCUUUAUCUUUAAUUACCUUUAAUAAUUGAAUUGAAUUCAAUUUUAUUUGUAUAGCGCUUUUAACAUUGGACAUUGUCUCACAGCAGCUUUACAGAAACAAACACAGCAUACAGAUUUUAAGUGUGUGAAUUUAUCCAUAAUAGUUUAAGACAGUUACAUAACAAUGAAAUGUCAUAAGUGUUUAAUUUUAUUAUUUUUUUUUAAUUUCAGGUGGACUUUGAUGACUACGAGGGAAUGAUAAGUUUCCUGAAUGUCAACAGGAAUCAUUGGAUAUUUCUGUAUCUCCAUGCAGCAUCCAGCCAGGUGUUUGUUGUAGACCCAGCAGGACAUGAUGAAGAAGCAAAAUCCAUGCAUGUAGCCACUAGAUUUCAGUAAUAUUUUUAGCUUGUUAUAUACUGUACUUACAAAGAUGGGUUACAAAUUAGAAAAAAAACAUGACUGUGUGAAGAGGCCCACUACUUUUUGAUGUGUUUUCUUGUCACAGGGCAUUGAACGGUGAAUGAUAUGCUGUGUCCUUGUGUCCUUUUCUAUCACCGGAUCUUUAGUAAAUUAAACAAAAAAUUCAAUUUUGGACCAAACUCUCAGCGCUCUCCAGUAUCAUCUUGAAAAUGUAAAAAUUUAGAAAUAUAUUUUGAAAAAAUUAUGUUCUAUCCCUUCUGAUGGUGUUCCAGAGAGUUGGCAUAGCUCUUGCAGAUCUCUGGAUCCUUAACAAUUAUUUUCGUAAGAAUAAAAUGACAGGAUUCAAGUCUUUUACAUUGUGUAAGUAUACUAGUCUUCUCAUAAGAUUUUUUUUAAAUGCUGUCAAAUCCUUACAAUAAUUUUACUUAUUAACUUUUACUAUAAGUAGCAAGCAAUUCACAAUAAUUGUUAAGUGUAAAGUGAGUGAGAUAUGUAAAGACAAUAAUUACCAUAUACUACAUAUAUAGGAAAUUAGUAGUAAUAGUAAUAAUGUUUUAAUGCUUAAUGUUAUCCUGUCAAUCAUUUUGAUUCGCUUAACGCA